CUGGGGCCUGUCUCCCAGCAUGCUCUCUGCUGCCCAAUUCCUAGCAACGUGGGGGGGAGGCGACCUCAGCAGGAGCCUAAGAGUCAGAGCCAAGCUCCUGUGCCUCUGGGGAGAGAAGGAUCAGCACAUGGUGCUGGGUUCUGCCUCUCUCCAGCGCUGGGCUGUGGCUUUCCUCUGACAGAGCCCUCAGGACUGGGCUGGGCUGUGACCUCCCUGGAGCCACGGUGCCACGGCUCCCAUUGUUCUGGGCACUCAGCAACCCUCAGCAGACAGGGUUCCCACGGCAGUAAGUUCCCUUAAGUAGAAAUAGACGCAGGAAGAUAAGCUGAGCAGAGUGCUGAGGGCAAGCCAAGUUCCGCGAAUUCCCCGCUGGCCGGCAGCCAGCCUGGUAGCCCGCUGUGUCACCUUCUCACACACCACCCCAGGCCCUGACCCUGGCCCUGCAAUGUUAAUGGAAGAAUGGAUGAACUGUGACUGCGCAGCCGUUUCCCAUAUCGGAGGCAGAAGUGACUUGUAAGAGCCCAUCACUCAAGUCUGUGCGAGGCCCUGAAACUCCUCCAAGGGUUUCCAUGGAGCUGAACCUGCUCUGUGGAUGUGUUGCACGUGGUCUGGGAACCUUGCUGGAGGUCUGGUACUGAUGAGCAGACCUCGUGGUGGUGGACAUCGGAGAUAAGAAGCAGAUGGAGAGUGGAGCACGGGUCAACAUAUACCUCAUACAACAUGUCCUGUCACUAAACAGCCUGUGGCGUGACAGUGUCACCACCUAUGACCCAUCCUCCUUCCAAAGGUACGGCGUGAGCAAAGCCCCGCUGUUCCCAGUCUGCUCCGCUCCCGCCUGCAACCAGGUGAGAGUCCUGCUGUCCACGUCCAGGUUCAGGCCAGCAGUCGGGACCAGGCAUCAAGGCAGGAAGCAGCUUCUCUGGAUGGAAAGACCUGGCACAAGAUAGAGGGCAAACACCUCCCUAAAACAGAGGCCCUGGCCCAUUUUGGAAAAACACACGUUGCGGAGACUACCACAAAGGCCCUAAGAAGAUCCAGAGCAUCUAGUGAGAGGUGUUCACUGUCCUGGAAGCAAUUCCAGGCCUUUCAGGCAAGGUCCCACGCUACUUCAGUGAGUUUUAAGUUGUACCAAGCUACUGAUGACGUGCACUUAAUGUUUAGAGAUCAUAAUUGAAUUAGGUGCUUUAAAAGCAAAAUGGUAGGUAUCAGACAAUCUGGAUUUCUGCUCCAACUUUGUAAGUGGUGGACAAUGUGAUGUUUAUCCCCAUGAGCCCCGAUUUCCACAGAGUAGUCAUUGUUGGUCACAGCAAUGCAAAUGCAGGUUUAGAGAGGCUAGGUGAUUUUCUUAAGGACACCAGCCAGUAAAAUACACACAUCACCUCAUUUAAUUCCCACAACCACCGCGGGGCCAUAGAUGCAGAGACUGAGGGUUUGAGGGUUGGCCUGGCUGGGUCAAGAACGAGCUGGGGCUGUGUUUGGGGAAUUUUCUGUCUGACUCCAAAGUCCUUAGACGUUCAGAAGCACAAGCACACCUCCCGACUCUGCAAGUCUCUUACUGAUUGGAGGAUCGUAGCGGGCAGGAGCCCAGGGACAGGCAAAUCUCUGAAGGAAGAAGUGGAUUGUGCCUUCCUUACAGGAGCUAAGAGCGCUUUGCUCCCAGACAACGGGUUCCCAGUACUGAGAGUGACUUGGAGGGAAGGAAGGUCAGCGGGAGCCCUAGAGCUGCCAACCCGCUCUCCCCACGGCCUUCUUGCCCUCAGAAGUCCUCCUGCGUGGAUUCGAUGACUUCUUUGGCUCAGCCCACACCACGGCCUGAUCAGCACCUCUCCCCUGCCCCUGACACUGGACGUCCGGCUGGCUGCCCUGCCCUUCCUGAGCCAUGAGCUGGUGGUGGGUCUCCCUCUUCAGAGCCCUGGUCUGCCGGGUUCAGACAGACACAGCGGGUACGCCUGCUUUCCACUGCGGUGGUGAAGGCCCCCAAGGCUGGGCAGGACCUCGUCCAGAGCACAGACCCUGUGUGAGGGACCCUCAGAUCCCUCCAGUCUGCAAAGUUAAUGACCAUAAGCACAGGAUGGAGGAGAGCGUAAGAACAAGGCCCACGUCCCCACGUGGAUCUGGGUCAGGACCACAGAGCUUGCAGUAAUGUCUCGUUUCACUGCCUUCGCAACUGUACUUCCCUGGGGCUCCACCUCCUAAUCUGUGGUGUGACUGCUCCCAGGCCUUCCCGUCCUGGGAUUCCUGGUUUUGGCGAUGGUCAGUUUGCCUUUUAAAUUCCAGGUGUACUCCACAGCCUUCGGUUUUAUGUGCCUGUUAGCCUUUCAUUUUGAAGAAGCUUCACACUUACCUAAGAGCUUUAAAGACAACCCACGAGAUUGAUGUCUGCCCUCCAUCCUCGCUGCCCUGGGGGCUACCUUUCAGAACCUGGGGGUGUUUGUGCCUCAUAAGGAAGUAGCCAGCCCAAUCUUCAGACUUCACUGGGAUUUCACCAGUUUUUCUACUAAUGCCCUUUUUCUGUUCCAGGAUUCAAACCAGAUGCCAUGUGACAUUUGGUCUUUAAAGCUUUUGAAAUAAAGAGUUUAGUGGUCUACUUUUUAAAUUAUGGAGACAUGAAGACCAUGGGAGAAUGCAAACUGAAUCAGGGACACAUCCUGCGGCAGGAACAUGCGUUGGCGAUCCCCCUGGUGUGUCUCUGAGAUCCUCAGGAGGUCUUCAAAGACCAUUCUGCAUCUUGGCACAUGUGGAAAACCAAAAUGAGGUGUGAACCAUAAAGCCAAGCUCUUGUUGUAGACACACACGGGAAGGCUGGGAAUCAAAGACAGAGCAAAGUGACCUCCUUCACGGGAACCUUGCAGGGAAUGGGGGCCGGGGUUGGAAUUGGGAGCACCUCCAGCACUGAGGAGACUUAUCCAUCACCGUGUGCUCACGGGGCCAAGGACACCAGCACCCCCUGGGCCAUACGGCUACUGCAGUAGAGGAAGCUUAGAGGGUGGGCAGUGCUGACCUAGGGAAGGCAGGGCCCUGCACUGACUCACAACCAGGAAGGGGAGGCUGACCGGGGCGGCGCAGAGCCUUGGACUUCACUACAGUCACCUGUGGAAACCAGGUUCCCGCCUGACAAGUCCAGCUUCCCAUUCGCCUGGAAGCCGACACAGCCCUGAGGGGCAGUUUCCCUGCUUCUCCUCUCAUUGUCUGAACUGUCGUGGGCGAAUUCAUAAAUUCAGCUCUGGUAUAAACGGGGCCCCUACACAGGACACUCUUCCUCCAAAUUCAGUUCUGUGAGAUCUGCCUUGCCCGAAAGAGGCCUCAUCAAACGCCUCAUUCACUAGAUCUUUCUGAGCUGCCACUGGUAGGAAGUCAUGAGCCAGGCAUGGGUCUAGUUGCAGACUGGUUUUAGAGCGCUCGGUACCUUUUCCUGUAACAUCCCCGUAACGCCCUCUACCGACAUGUGAGGAGGGUAUCCUCUCCUCCUCUCUCUUCCUGUGCCAGGGAAAGAAGCAGAAGAUAGAGGCGUGGAGGCAAAGGCAAGCAGAAUGCAAUGGUUCUCCCUGCCCUGACUCCAUGUUCUGUCAGUUCUCUGAGGCCGCGGAGCUGAGAGAUGACACAACAGGAGCCGUGAGUCCAGGCUCCCUGAUCCCAGCCCAGAGCUCCUUCCACCACACGGCAUCCCAGCCUCCCUAGAACAUUCCAGCUUUGUCUUGAUUUACACAGGACCGUGCCAACCCAAGUCAGCGAACAUCCCCUGGAGUAGCUCAGGCCUGCCCUCAGUAGCCCACCUCCUGGCCAUCAUUGUGGUGGAGGUGGGCGUCUGGGCCUGGGAAUCCGGCAUCCCAAGACAGGGUUUUCAGCAGAGAAACAGGAGGAACCGUGGCUUUACUGGCUCGGGGCUCUGAUGGCAGUGUCCUUUAGAUGGUGCCCCAUUAUUAGCAAGGUUCUCCCGCAGGUCCUGGACACUGUUGUCACAACUCUCCCCCUCUUAAAAUAAAACGUACGCUGAUUUGCUUAUGUAAGGUGGCCAAGUUGCACACAAGCAUAGACGCUUCCCCCAGAAAGGACAAGAGCUGGCAGCCAAUGGGCAGACGUGAUUGCUCCCCAGCCUGUGAGCAAUUUCUUUCCUUUCAAAUAUUUCACUGAGACUGGAGUCUGAGCUCAAAGUCAUGAUCAUCUGAAAAAAUACCUGGGGGUUAAUUGGCAUCUGUCUGGGGCGGCCAAGUCCCAUGGAAAAGAGGCUGUUCUGCAUGUUCAGCCUGUGAUUAGCAGAGGGGGAGAAGGUCAAGAGCAGGUGGAAGGGAGAAAGGAAGGGUCACUGGGCCCUGCACACCAGAGUGCGGAGAGGAGGAGGGGAGAUGGCGGUCAGCUUGUCUCUGGACUCCCAGGGGCCAAACCAAACCUGUGACGUCCUCUCCUUCCUCUUUGCUUGGGGGUUCCUGACAAACCAGCCGUGAGUUGGCACAUUGAAGACUAGACAUCGUUGGCUUCCCUCUCUGGCAGGGAGGACAAAAGGAUCCGCAGACAGCAAGAAAGGCAGGGCACUUCCAGGCUGCGCCGUGCCUCCCUGGGCCGCAGAGCUUGCCCGGCUGAGUGCCCGUUUCCAAUGAGCUGGGAGCCUGAGAGUGGAGCCCUGGGCCAAGGUCAUGUGGCACAUGGUCACUAGCACCAGGAUCCAUGCCCAGUCCUCCCAACUCAGUGCAGGGCUGUCCUGCUGCGCUUGAGGAGCUCGGCUGAGUGCUCCUGUUCGGCUGCCCUACAAAGGCUGUCAGAACGAGGCCCUAACCACAUGAGGGGCCUGAACCGGAGGCCUGGAGGGACAGUGUAACUAGGUCAUUUCCGUGCUGCGUGCCGGCAGCGAGCCUGGCUGUGGGGAGUGCUGGACUCUGUCCUGUCCACAAGCAGGCCUGAUCUUGGAGCCAGCCAUCGGUCUGAAGGGGUUUGGGAUCGUUAAAUCUGCCUGCCGGAGGCAGAGGGAUGGACGAGGAAGGCCACUAGGGCUGUGCAGGCAGCCUCUGGGCCCAACUCCCUGCCCACAGCUGUCCCUGCCCACCCUUCCCCAGGCCAGCAGGGCCCCUGCUCAGCUGCAGUAACCAGGCUGGCCCUUCAGGCUGGCCCUGAGCUAGAGAUCCGCCUCACCCAGGAUGAAGGGCUAGCCUGGCCCCAGUCCUGUGGCCCAGGCUCUGCAGACAGAGGGUGAGCUUCAGGGCCAGGGCCCUCGCUGGGUGGCAGGAGUGCCUCUCGGAGCCUGUUACUGCAGUUAAGCACAUCAUCUUGGGAGCUAAGACUUUCUGGAUCCAAAUCUCAGCUUCCCAGCUGAGGAGAAGCACCAGUUCUAAGACCACAGUUUGUCUAUGGAACGAUUCAUGGAUUUGUUUGGAGCAUUAAAUGAGAUAAUCCAUA